GAAUUAUACAGAAAACCAUGGCACUAUCUUGAUUGAAUCAUAUAGAUAUUGAAGCUAUGAGAAGGGGACACCAACUUAAUAUGGAACAAAGGGAAUACCUUGUAAGCCAUGUUACUGUCAAGGAGAUUGAGAGUGAUUUACAUGGUAUAGGCGAUUUAAAGUCCCCGAGAGCUAAUGCCUGUGGUUCUAAAUUCUUUAAAGCCUGCUGGUCUAUUAUAAAGGAAGAUGUUAUUGUUUCCAUCAAAGAUUUCUUUGAACACGAAAAUUUAUACUAGGCUUUUAACAUGACUGUGGUAACUUUGAGCCCAAAGAAAGGUUAUGCAAAACAUGUCAAAGAUUACAAGCCUAUAGUAGGGUGUAUAACAUUCUAUAAAAUAAUCUCAAAGAUUAUGACAAGUAAACUAGGCAAGGUUCUUACUAAUAUCAUUACCCUAAAUCAGGCUACCUUUAUGCCAAGACAAUUUAUACACUACCACAUUAUGCUUGCAUAUGAGUUUCUCCAAGGUUAUUCAAGGAAGGGUGGUACCCCAAGAUGCAUGAUGCAAUUAGAUCUCUAUAAAGCAUGUGAUAUGGUGGAUUGACUUGUUAUGGAAAGGGUGCUUCAAGAAAUUGGUAUUCCUAGCAUUUAAGUGAACAUUAAUGGGUGUAAAUUUAUUAGUUGAGUAAAUUAAUUUGGGUGCAUUCGAUUUCGUAAUCAAGGUUGCAAUUUUCGACGGCUUUUUCUGUUUCUCCAUCUUCGGUAAUCGUUUUCCUCUACUCCUCCAGUUAGGGUUUCGAUUAACGAAGCGACGAAUUUUUUUCCUGGAUUCUCCACAUUUAAGUGAACAAUUGUUAUUUGAAAUUGUGAAAUUGUUCUGUUGUCUCGGAUCUGCCUCUUUCGAUUUGGGAUUUUUUUGGAUUAAUUUACUUCAGCAAGGUUGCAAUUUGAAUCAAUAAUUUUUGCGCCCUAGAUUUCUGAAAAAAUUCCGUUUAGUUUGCGGUGAUUUAAUGUCGAACCUGUUGUUUUUUUUGCUCUGGUGCAUAUUGUUAGGCUGUUUGUUUCUUUGUUGCUGAGAGUUUAUUGAAUUUAAUGGCUGAUUUCAGGUUAAGGAAGGUGUUCACUCAUUUAAAUUUUAGAUACAAUGUCGUCAAAUUCGAUGAAAUGUCCUCGUCGCAAGGUGUUCGAUGAAAUGUCCCAACCGGAUUCUUUCUUUUUUUUUGCUUCAGUUUUGAUUUUCUUAUGUUUGCUUCAGUAUAAUUUUCUUAUGUUUGAUAAAUUUGGUCGGAUUAUUUUGGUGUUUGAUAAUGAUCCAUCUUCUCACAGAAACAAUGUUUUUUAUUUACUGCUUUUAAGUUUACUCCAUUUUGUAUGAUUUGUUGGGUUCUGAAGUUUUGAAUCGGUUCUUAAUCACAUUAUUGAAGCCAUAAAUGACGUUCUAAAGGUAAACGGGAUUAAGUUUCAUAGCAAUUUCACACUUUUUAAGGUUGACAAUUGUUGGAGCAUCUUAAUGUUUUGCUUGAGUUAUUUCCCUGUCAUUUUGCUGGAAUUCCUUUUCUAAUUACUAGUCUUUGGGAUGGAUUUUAAUCUAUUAUAAGAGAUUUGGUGUUGGUAGGGUGCCUUUUGUUCCUGUUUUCGGUCUAUACAUAAGCAUUUGUAUGAUUUGCAAAUUUUAAUGAUUUUAUUAAAUAUAUAUUCACAACCGAGUCGCAUAAAUAAUCCUGAAAUUUAUUCUUGUUUCUAUACAGGCUAUGCAUCCCAGAUUCACUGGACAAACUUCUAAUUGAUUCAACUCCAGCAUCCAGUUAGCGAGAAAUAUGUACGUAAAACCAAUUGGAUCAGCUACUGGAGCAUUUUCAAGUAGUGUGAUAUUCCCACUUAAUGUUGCUUCUAAGCAUAUGCAAGCUGGUGCUCUAAUGGAAAAUGACACAAUAACAUGAUUCAAUAUGUGGUAAAUUCUUGAAUGGAGUGAUGGGCUAUGGCUUAUUAGUAGUAAAUGUCUUACAAGAAACACUGUUUGAUUGGUGACUAUUAUGAUUUUAAUGGUUACUAGUCUUUAUGCCUUCAGGUUGGAACUCUUAGGGAGCUAGUCUUUCAACAGGUUUGACAUAUGAGAAGUUCUACUCCUUGAUCAGUUUUGUAGAUGCUAGAGUUUCUAAUGCAACAACUGCCUCUAAAUUUUGUGUUAUGUGUGUAUUCUUUAUUUUACAAUGAGUAUUAUUACAUCAUUGUAUAUAUGUCUAUGAUUUAUGGCAGUGAAAUGUGUAAGGUUGGAAGUCUUGAUCCAAACAAGCUUAAAGGAAAAACCUUGUGCUGCCUCCUAGAAGAGCUAAAUGGAUUAGUUUACACAGAGGAAGAAGUUGUUUAUGGUGGUUCAAUAGGACUAAUUUUGGGAAAUUAUGCGCAUUUGUUUACAACUUGACAUGUCAAUUACACAACGGUUGAAUUUCAAAGGGUUUUUCAGAGCUUCCAAAACAUACGUGUACAGAUGGUGUGAUCUUCUGAUACUUAUUCCGCUUCAGAUGAACAGAAUUGAAAUGGAAUUUCCUAUUAUCUUGAUACCGCCUUUAUCAGCGUCUCCGGCACUUGGAGACUCCACUGAGUUACCGGUAACCGCUCCUGCGAUUGCUGCUUUCCAUUCCUGUCGGCCACCAGGUACUUCUUCUUUUUGUAACUUUCUCUGCUUUGUGUUGGUUUGAAGUUUUCGAUUUCCCCAAUAUUUUUUUCAUAUCACAGUAUAGUUAAUGCUUUAAGAACUUAAAUUUUAUCUAUGGAAUCUUCUUCUAUUUCUUCUGGUUUAUCUGUUUGUGUUUUUCUGUAAUGAUUUGGCUAACAAUGUUUAAUUGUUGGUGUUGAGGUUAAUAUUCCUAAAAAAUCCUAUUCAACUCAACUAGUAUUUAUGGAUAUUUAUGGAUGAAAAUCAAAGUGCCACCCCAGCUCAAAAUGGAGGGUAUCUUACAUCAAAUAUAUUUACAUUAACUAUUUCAGAGAUUAAUGGAGGUUCAAAUUUAUCAAUUAAAAUGCAUUGGUCUCAGAAAAUAGAAUGCUCCAUUGAUGAGUACUCUUUGAAUGUGCCAUUCACUUUUCCAGAUUUUGUCAAUUGUACAUAAACACGCUCAGGAAAGGUCGUGCUGCCGCUGAAAACCGCGGUGAUGUUAACGAUUAAGUAUGGGAUUGGAAUCGGUGGCAUCGGCAUUUCGAUGAGGUUGAUGACUUGCUACAUUCCUGUGAUUUCAUUUUGUUUUUUGUACUUAUUGUGAAUCAAUCGAUGUUAAUUAAUGUUGGAUGUUGUGGUAGUUUUAAUGUUUUUUGUGCUUAUCGUGAAUCAUGAAAGAUUUGAAUUAUCUCUGACUAAUGAGGAAUUGUCAUGUGUAACAAUUCCUACGCAAAAUCCCAAACUUACAGUUCUUAGUA